CGUUGGGAGCUCUCCCAUAUGGUCGACCUGCAGGCGGCCGCGAAUUCACUAGUGAUUCGUAUUACCGCGGCUGCUGGCACGGAGUUAGCCGGAGCUUAUUCUCCCGGUACUGUCAUUAUCAUCCCGGGUAAAAGAGCUUUACAACCCUAAGGCCUUCAUCACUCACGCGGCAUUGCUGGAUCAGGCUUUCGCCCAUUGUCCAAUAUUCCCCACUGCUGCCUCCCGUAGGAGUCUGGGCCGUGUCUCAGUCCCAGUGUGGCUGAUCAUCCUCUCAGACCAGCUAAGGAUCGUCGCCUUGGUGCGCCUUUACCACACCAACUAGCUAAUCCUACGCGGGCUCAUCCCUCGGCGAUAAAUCUUUGGACUUACGUCGUCAUCCGGUAUUAGCAGUCAUUUCUAACUGUUAUUCCGAACCAAGGGGCAGAUUCCCACGCGUUACGCACCCGUGCGCCACUAAGGCCGAAGCCUUCGUUCGACUUGCAUGUGUUAGGCAUGCCGCCAGCGUUCGUUCUGAGCCAUGAUCAAACUCUAAUCGAAUUCCCGCGGCCGCCAUGGCGGCCGGGAGCAUGCGACGUCGGGCCCAAUU
rnacentral:rRNA from 1 species